UUAGGGCGCUUUCGGAGGGGCGUGCGGUCGAUUAGCUAGUUGGUGUGGUAACGGCGCACCAAGGCGACGAUCCGUAGCUGGUCUGAGAGGAUGAUCAGCCACACUGGGACUGAGACACGGCCCAGACUCCUACGGGAGGCAGCAGUGGGGAAUAUUGGACAAUGGGCGCAAGCCUGAUCCAGCCAUGCCGCGUGAGUGACGAAGGCCUUAGGGUUGUAAAACUCUUUUGGCGGGGACGAUAAUGACGGUACCCGCAGAAUAAGCUCCGGCUAACUUCGUGCCAGCAGCCGCGGUAAUACGAAGGGAGCUAGCGUUGUUCGGAAUUACUGGGCGUAAAGCGCACGUAGGCGGAUUUGUUAGUCAGGGGUGAAAUCCCGGGGCCCAACCUCGGAACUGCCUUUGAUACUGCAAGUCUGGAGUCCGGAAGAGGUGGGUGGAAUUCCUAGUGUAGAGGUGAAAUUCGUAG
rnacentral:rRNA from 1 species